rnacentral:lncRNA from 1 species
CUGGGGCCCGGGGUCCUAGGUUUCUAUGACGACGCAAGGCAUUCUGAGAAAAGUUGUGGCUGCCGGCGCCCGGCGGGAAACACAUUUUGCUGGUACAGCUUUCAAGUGUCCAUUUCCUUUCGGUUUAAAUGAAGAAACGAUGAAAGCCCAAGCGCUGCCAGACCCCUGAGUCCGCGAGGGCACUGCUUGUGGGAGAGGUUGGAGUCCCUGACUGCCUAGAGCGCGCCACCGAGCUGCCGGCUGCCAGUGCUUAGGGAGAGUGUAGUAACCUGAAAGUGCCAGUAGCACACUGAUUUAUUUCUGAGUUAUCUUUCUGGAGGAAUAUGUCACAUUACUAAAAAGAGUGAUAGGAAGCAUUAUUAUGUCUCUCCCGAAAACGCCAACCUCACCGUUAAAGUCCCCACCAUCUUACGACCCUAGGAAGUCAAAAGUAUCUGCCGUCAAGGAGACAAGAGGGUACGCUUCCACGUGCUGUAGACCAUGUCUGGCAGCACCCAAUUCGAAGGAAUAAAUUCAAAUACCUUAUUGACCAUCCUGACUCCCUAACAGGAGCUGCAAGGUAAAGAAGGAAGAGGUCAGGAUAGAGGCAGAUAAAUAGAGUUGUCUUUUCA